CGCUUCAGCUGGACGUUUAUGGUUUCCGACGGUUGUCGUUGGGAGGCGACACUUGCUGCUUACGUGCCGCGCGAAAAAUUUCUCUAUGGAACUUGUUCGAUGCAGGGACUAUCGACGUUCUAAGCAAAAGUGAAGGGUACAAUUGGGAGGUGCGGCCCUGCGGGACGCGUGGAACCGAUUUGUUAUAAAAUGGUCACUAUCUUUUACAAGUUCCAGGUGGUACAAGUACCCGCUUUCUCCCGGAAGCAAAGUCUCAAACAGAUUCAAGAGAUCUUUCGACAACUCGUCCGAGUCGAGUGCCUGCGGCCCGCCGAUUGAUGUGCUCAAAACACUUUUCUUUCUUUCUUUUUCUUUUCUGAAAGAAGAAAAAGGAUAGAAAAUGUUUUGAAGCAUUUGUAACGCCAAUUGGCAACCAGCAUAUAUCCUAAAACUGAUCUAUACGUAGGCUACACACUACCAGAGAAAAGACGCACAGCGAUUACCAUUUACUGAAAAAGUUUACGACUGGCUCCAUAUCAGAUGACUGUAUUCGUUUCACUACUUAUUGGCAACGUCAUGCUUAAGAAAUAGGAAGCAACCCUUUUUUGAAUAAUUCAAUAGUUUAUUUGAUGACGUCAAGAAAAACCAGAUAUAUCAGAUGCUUAUAAAGUGAAAUAUAAAGCGACUCGAGACCAGACCAAAUAUUUUGUUAUUAGCAUAAAUUGUUAUUCUUUUGAAAAUUCAGAGUUUUUAUUGUAUUGAAACAAGUUUGCCUAUUUGAAUUCCAGGAGGCAGAUCGUAUAAUAUAUAUUUCUAGCUUCAGAUUGCUAUCGAAUAACAUGAAAAGAGCGCACGAUAAUCAUAUUAUUUUUACUUCGAAGCGGUUACUUUGAUGCGAACGCUAUUGAUUGCGAUGAGUAAUGUGACGCUGACACGACAGUAAUGUGACACGUCCUGCAUAUUGUUGAGAAAUUCCCACGAAUAUUCGAUCCCUUUCGAUCGAUAUAUUCCGUGCAGAAAUGUGUUUGUAGGACAGAAUACUUAGCCAAAUUAAUGGAGUAAAGAUGGUCUUUCUAAUUGCACGUUCGCAGAAUCCUUUGACAUUUCAUAGGAAGGCAUCCUUGUAAUUCGUUAGACGCUACAAAUCCAAGUAUGUAGUAAAACUACACAUUUUUAUGUGUAAAGUUAUUAUGUGUGCGUGCGUAAUUUAACUUUCUGUGUAAAAAUUACAGGUUUUACCGGAUAAACGAUAAAUUUAUGCGUUUAAAUGUGUUCAAUUUAACAUGUUUUGCUGUGUACAAUACGAUAUAUCGAAAAAUGAAGGAGAAUAUAAUUCUGAAAUGUGUAACCAAUA